UACGUAGGGAGCAAGCGUUGUUCGGAUUUACUGGGCGUAAAGGGCGCGCAGGCGGCUCAUUUUGUCAGGCGUGAAAGCCCCGGGCUUAACCUGGGAACUGCGUUUGAUACGGAUGGGCUAGAGUUCGGGAGAGGAGAGUGGAAUUCCCAGUGUAGAGGUGAAAUUCGUAGAUAUUGGGAAGAACACCGGCGGCGAAGGCGGCUCUCUGGACCGAUACUGACGCUGAGGCGCGAAAGCGUGGGGAGCAAACAGG
rnacentral:rRNA from 1 species